AACGAACGCUGGCGGCAUGCCUAACACAUGCAAGUCGAACGAGACCUUCGGGUCUAGUGGCGCACGGGUGCGUAACGUGUGGGAACCUGCCCUUAGGUUCGGAAUAACUCCCCGAAAGGGGUGCUAAUACCGGAUAAUGUCUUCGGACCAAAGAUUUAUCGCCUUUGGAUGGGCCCGCGUUGGAUUAGCUAGUUGGUAGGGUAAAAGCCUACCAGGGCGACGAUCCAUAGCUGGUCUGAGAGGAUGAUCAGCCACACUGGGACUGAGACACGGCCCAGACUCCUACGGGAGGCAGCAGUGGGGAAUAUUGGACAAUGGGCGAAAGCCUGAUCCAGCAAUGCCGCGUGAGUGAUGAAGGCCUUAGGGUUGUAAAGCUCUUUUACCCGGGAUGAUAAUGACAGUACCGGGAGAAUAAGCUCCGGCUAACUCCGUG
rnacentral:rRNA from 1 species